UACGGGGGGUGCAAACGUUGCUCGGAAUUAUUGGGCGUAAAGCGCACGUAGGCGGUCUUGUAAGUCGGGUGUGAAAGCCCGGGGCUUAACCCCGGAAGUGCACUCGAAACUGCAAGGCUUGAGUAUGGAAGAGGGUCUCGGAAUUCCCGGUGUAGAGGUGAAAUUCGUAGAUAUCGGGAGGAACACCAGUGGCGAAGGCGGAGACCUGGGCCAAUACUGACGCUGAGGUGCGAAAGCGUGGGGAGCAAACAGG
rnacentral:rRNA from 1 species